CCCUUAGAUGUCCGGGGCCGCACGCGCGCUACACUGAAGGAAUCAGCGUGGCUUUCUCCCUGACCCGAAAGGGUUGGGAAACCCGUUGAAUCUCCUUCGUGAUAGGGAUUGGGGCUUGAAAUUGUUCCCCAUGAACGAGGAAUUCCCAGUAAGCGCGAGUCAUAAGCUCGCGUUGAUUACGUCCCUGCCCUUUGUACACACCGCCCGUCGCUACUACCGAUUGAACGGUUUAGUGAGGGCCUCGGAUUGGUCUCGGCCCGCUCUUUACCGGGCGGCGCCGUUGGUCGAGAAGACGCUCGAACUUGAUCGUUUAGAGGAAGUAGAAGUCGUAACA
rnacentral:rRNA from 1 species